AAAUGCGGAAGAGAUAAGUGCUGAAAGCAUCUAAGCACGAAACUUGCCCCGAGAUGAGUCUUCCCUGAGACUAUAAGUCUCCUGAAGGAACGUUAAAGACGAUGACGUUGAUAGGCCGGGUGUGUAAGCGCAGCGAUGCGUUGAGCUAACCGGUACUAAUGAACCGUGAGGCUUAACCUUACAACGCCGAAGCUGUU
rnacentral:rRNA from 1 species